CAUUUGGGUCGGGGGUUGAUUGCUUUCCUUUCUUUCCCUUACAUAUCACCUUCCUCACCUCCAUACUCCCAUUGUCCCACAGUCCGAGUUGGGAGAAUGCUCAAACUUCGCAGCAACUUCAAUGGUUUCCAAAGGUUCAACGUCGUCCAUGGUUUCCGUCAUCUUCUACUCUAUUCAACUUCAUCCUCAAUUUCAGUCGAAGGAAACCCUGAAUUCGUGAAUUACUUGGUGGAGUCUCUAGGUUUGCCCACUCAACACGCUCUCUCUACUUCCACUAAGCUCGCCCGCGUUCGUCAACUUCGAGGUGCGAAGAAUUUUAGUGAUUUUAAUUUCGUUGAUAAUGCUGAUUCCGUUGUUAAAUAUCUCAAAAAAAUUGGACUGGAACAUUCUCAUAUUCGAAAGGCCGUUGUUUCUGUACCCCAAAUUUUAUUGUGUAAUGUUAACAGAACCCUAAUUCCCAAGACCCAAGCUAUUGAGAAAUUGGGUAUUUCUGGGUCUGAUUUUGCUGAGGUUGUCAGUGUAAAUCCUUCAAUAUUUGUUACGACCUCAAAUACCAAUAUUGUUUCUGCAAUCAAAGCUUUGAGGGAGGUUACGGGUUCUGAUCUCCAUGUGAUUGCCAUUUUGAAGAAAUUAGUCGACAAAAGGUUUGUUGGAAAUUCCAAAUAUUUGGUGGCAAAUGUAGCGUUGUUGCGAAAUUAUGGGAUCCCCGAUGAAUCAAUUCGGAAAUACCUACUUAGGUUACCAUCCGCUCUUGUCCGGGAAACUGAAUAUUUAGAAGAUGCAAUGAUUAGGGUUGAAGAGAAGUUGGGGAUUUCCCGAAACUCUCCACAGUUCUUGCUUGGGCUUCAUUUGCUAUCCUCUCAUAACGAGAAGGCUAUCCAGUCGAAAAGGGAAACGUAUAUGAGUUUCGGUUGGACUGAAUCUGAUGUUGCAGCUCUUUUUAGAAAAAAUCCUCCCUGUUUUGGGCUGUCUAUCGCUACAAUUAAAAAGAAGUUAGGUUUUCUCAUGAAUGAACUGGGUUACGAGCCUAAUGUCUUAAUAUUGCAGUCUUGCCUUUUAACUUAUAGCUUGGAGAAGAGAACAAUGCUAAGACAUAAGGUACUAUUGGUCUUGAAGGAGAAAGGUUUUAUAAAGAUGGAUUACCGUCUCUCUAGUGUACUAAGCUGUAACGAGGCUCGGUUCUUGGAGAGGUUCGUUCUACCGUUCAAGGAAGUCCAUCAAAUUUACUCUAAACAUACAGGUCUUAGUUUGGAGGCGUUAACUCAGAGAUCGUUGGAAAAAAUUUCAAAUCCUGUUUGAUGAAAGUUCCUUGUCUGGUUAUGCAGUGCAAUACUGUGGUGUACUGGGUUUCAGCAGACUGGCAAAGUUAUUGAUCUUGGAUCUGAAUAAUAGUUACAUUAUGGAGAUUAAGGGAAACCUCGAACUAUUUCAAGAUCUGUAAAACAUCAGAAAAGAACAAACUGUCACAGUUUAUGCUCUUAUUAUCUUUGUUGGACUUUGGCCUUUCUGAAAGCAAGAUGAACGGAUGAAGCAUACAGUUUUGGAGAUAUUGGUAAAGCAAUGUGUCUUUGAGCUCUGGAUAUUGGUAGGAGGUGAAUGGCAUACAGUUAUGUGAAUGUGAAUACUUCACCAAGUUAUUUAAGUGUUCUGCGGUAGAUUACAAAAUUCUGGCUGUAAGUUAUUGUUUAGUAUGCUUUUGUAACCACAACCACUGAACCACCGAACAAAUGACAGACCUUUAUAAUUCUGUUGCCAUGGCAAUUUCUACUUUAUGACCUCCGAAUCUUCAUGUGUUGCACUGUGGAUCAUUUACUUUCUGCUGUCGUAGUUUGCCAUGUUAAUGGAUAAAAUUCUUUUGGGUGGUUUUAGUUUUGUUCAGUCGCAGGGUUUGCAGUCAUCAUCUAUGAUACUUGGUAUGUGUAAGACCUAACAGUUAGUUAUUCAAAGAAACUUAAUAAGAGUAAUUACGCCUCCGCUUUUUGAUAGU